rnacentral:rRNA from 1 species
UGAACGCUAGCUACAGGCUUAACAUAUGCAAGUCGAGGGGCAGCAUUGGAGUAGCAAUACUCAGAUGGCGACCGGCGCACGGGUGAGUAACACGUAUCCAACCUGCCGCUUACUCGGGAUAGCCUUUCGAAAGAAAGAUUAAUACCCGAUGGUAUAAAGAGUUCGCAUGUUCUCUUUAUUAAAGAAUUUCGGUAAGCGAUGGGGAUGCGUUCCAUUAGAUAGUUGGCGGGGUAACGGCCCACCAAGUCUACGAUGGAUAGGGGUUCUGAGAGGAAGGUCCCCCCACAUUGGAACUGAGACACGGUCCAAACUCCUACGGGAGGCAGCAGUGAGGAAUAUUGGUCAAUGGACGAGAGUCUGAACCAGCCAAGCAGCGUGAAGGAUGACUGCCCUAUGGGUUGUAAACUUCUUUUAUAAGGGAAUAAAGUGAGGGACGUGUCCCUUUUUGUAUGUACCUUAUGAAUAAGGAUCGGCUAACUCCGUGCCAGCAGCCGC